UUUUUGUUUUGUGCCUCAAUGCAGUCAUUCCAGCGCCAGGUCCCAGUCCAAGUGCUCCUUCUUCCGAUUGCCCCGGGACGAGGGGGAGUUGAAGAAAUGGACUACACUGAUGAGGAGACAAGAUGCAAAGCCCAAUGAGCAUUCAAGAGUGUGCUCUUGUCAUUUUAGGAAUGGCAAGAAAGAAGCUGGUCCAACCCUAUUUGCUUGGAAUGACUUCAAGAGAAGGUUAUCGGCCGUCGUCCAAACGGUGCGCGCGGGCCCUCAUCUUGUCCGACGGCGCGCCAACUUCGCGACUGGCUCCGACCUCGCUUGGCGUUGGUACAAGAGCUGCCGGGAGUCGCCCUGCGUCCUCGUCGGGGAGCCGAGAUUCCGGGCGGGCCGACUCCAACGUUUCCACACGAUAUCGCUUUGAUAGCCAGAACGGCCUACGACGUUCCACGGCGCACGCCCACCCGGAGCUGGCGGCCGCCCUGCCGUGACGGUCGCACGCCGCUGUACCUGGCCGUACUGCAGCCCACCCGGAGCUGGCGGCCGCCCUGCCGUGACGGUCGCACGCCGCUGUACCUGGCCGUACUGCAGGGCUGGCGGCCGCCCUGCCGUGACGGUCGCACGCCGCUGCACCCGGCCGUACUGCAACCCACCCGGAGCUGGUGUCGCAGAUGCCAAGCUGCGAGAUGACGGGGGUUAUCGGCCGUCGUCCAAACGGUGCGCGCGGGCCCUCAUCUUGUCCGACGGCGCGCCCACUUCGGGACUGGCUCCGACCUCGCUUGGCGUUGGUACAAGAGCUG